AUGUAUUCCUUUUAUAUUUGAUUAGCAUUUUAAACUAGUGACUAUGUGUUGUGCAACUCUUUUUCCAUCAAUUUGAAAAUGAUAAUUAUUUCCGCUUUAAUUAGAACAGUAUUAGCCAUACUUACAUGGUUUCGACGUAAACUUUCUUUUGUUAAUAACAUUUUGUGCAUAAUUCAAUAUUUAAAGUCAAACUCUUUCCUUUUCAAAAUUAUUAGAAACGGACCCUUUCACCUAGACCCGUUUCUAAUAAUUUUGAAAAGGAAGGAGUUUGACUUUAAAU
rnacentral:lncRNA from 1 species